AAGCACUUCACAAAUACUAUCUGUGAAUUUCUGUAACAUCCCUCUGAAAUAGGAUUGUUUUCUCCUCUUACAGAUGUGGAAAUCUAAAAAUCAGGGAAAGCAACUGACCCAGCUCAUCUAGGCAAGAAGUUUCAGCCCCAGAAUUAAAAUCAUGAGCAAUACCUGGGCUUUAACCACUGUAGAGCACUCUUCUCUGAUAUGUCCUUUGAAAGCGUAAUAGACCUGAGAGCUGCAGACAGACUCCUCAGAAGUAGCCCAUGAGGCCCAAGGAAUCCACAGACCUGGUUUGCAGGAGUGGUGCAUUCUCUGUAUCCUGGCAAUUUGGAGGCAAACAGUCAAGACUAGUUAUUGAGUUCAUCUAGGUUGAAAAUAAAAAGGCACGUUCCAUAUCCUGAACA
rnacentral:lncRNA from 1 species